rnacentral:SRP_RNA from 1 species
CCCGCAAGCUGAUACGAUCAGCUCCUAUUAAAUCCCCCAGGUGCGGAAGCAAGCAAGGGUAGAUAGUUGAGCAGAUGCGUUAUCAGCUUGUUUUUUU